UUUUGUUUUAAUAAGGGUUUUGAAAACCUUUGAAGGCCAAGAAUUGUCCAACUUU
rnacentral:tRNA from 1 species